rnacentral:lncRNA from 1 species
GGCACAGACUCACGAAGGCCAGGAUCUUGUCUCUGGGUGUCGCAGCCCCACGUGGGGACUUGGUGCUUCAGUGGCGGUGCAACUGGCGGGUGGCGGUGGAAGCGUGAGACCUGGAGAAGCGGAAGGGCACAGGGAGAAGGACGCCUGCAGGAAGUCAGGCCUGGAAGGCGCUCAGCAAAGAGCGGGCUGUCCUCUCAGGUGCUAGGAAACCCCUGCCUGUGAGUGAGUGAGUGAAGGGGACUGUG